rnacentral:rRNA from 1 species
GAUGAACGCUGACAGAAUGCUUAACACAUGCAAGUCAACUUGAAUUUGGGUUUUUAACUUAGAUUUGGGUGGCGGACGGGUGAGUAACGCGUAAAGAACUUGCCUCACAGCUAGGGACAACAUUUAGAAAUGAAUGCUAAUACCUGAUAUUAUGGUUAUAGGGCAUCCUAUAAUUAUGAAAGCUAUAAGCACUGUGAGAGAGCUUUGCGUCCCAUUAGCUAGUUGGAGAGGUAACAGCUCACCAAGGCGAUGAUGGGUAGCCGGCCUGAGAGGGUGAACGGCCACAAGGGGACUGAGACACGGCCCUUACUCCUACGGGAGGCAGCAGUGGGGAAUAUUGGACAAUGGACCGAGAGUCUGAUCCAGCAAUUCUGUGUGCACGAUGAAGUUUUUCGGAAUGUAAAGUGCUUUCAGUUGGGAAGAAAGAAAUGACGUACCAACAGA